UACGUAGGGGGCAAGCGUUGCUCGGAUUGACUGGGCGUAAAGGGCGCGUAGGCGGUUCGUACAGUCAGACGUGAAAUUCCUGGGCUCAACCUGGGGGCUGCGUUUGAUACGUGCGGACUUGAGUGCGGAAGAGGGUCGUGGAAUUCCCAGUGUAGAGGUGAAAUUCGUAGAUAUUGGGAAGAACACCGGUGGCGAAGGCGGCGACCUGGUCCGAUACUGACGCUGAGGCGCGAAAGCUAGGGGAGCAAACGGG
rnacentral:rRNA from 1 species